GGAGGGUGCAAACGUUGCUCGGAAUUACUGGGCGUAAAGCGCGUGCAGGCGGUUUGGUUUAGUCUCGUGUGAAAGCCCUGGGGCUCAACCCAGGAUGUGCACGGGAUACUGGCAGACUAGAGUGCGGGAGAAGAGGGCGGAAUUCCCGGUGUAGAGGUGAAAUUCGUAGAUAUCGGGAGGAACACCAGAAGCGAAGGCGGCUCUCUAGACCGACACUGACGCUCAGACGCGAAAGCGUGGGUAGCAAACAGGAUUAGAUACCCUGGUAGUCCACGCCGUAAACGAUGGAUACUAGAUGCUGGAGGCUUGACCCCUUCAGCGCCGUAGCUAACGCAUUAAGUAUCCCGCCUGGGGAGUACGGUCGCAAGACUA
rnacentral:rRNA from 1 species